UGUUCUGCAGCUGGGUGGAUGGUGGAGGGGCCCCUUGGGAAGUGGGUUAGAGCAGGUUGAGGCUAACUGAGAAUUCAUCCUUGGACACAUUAAGCUUGAGAUGGGUCAGGAAGGCUGUUGGAUCCAUGGACCUGAAACUCAGGCCAGACUUGGGAGCUGGGCAGAUGGACUAGUAAGUCAUGGGAUAUAGAGGAGAAUUAGAACCUUGGAGGAUGCCUAGGAGAUAGCAUCCCCGUGAGCAAAGAGAACAAAGGGCAAAGAACUAUCUGCCAGGCCGACUGCCUGGGUUUCAAUUCUGGGACCCUUGCUAACUAGCUGUGACACUUGGGUAAAUUGCUCAGUUUACUCAUCUGUAACAAGGAGGAGCCUGUUGCAUCUACUGCAUUGGCGUUGUGAUGAUUCCAUGAAAUAAGGCACCUGAAGCACUUGGCACAGAGCCUGGCACUUCUGGGUUUGUUAAUUACAAUGGUCUGUCUUUGGACCUGAGGUCUCCCACUAUGUGUGAGUGGUUUGAGCUGUGCCUAAUUCCAUUCUAUUUUCUUUCCUAUCUUUUCUUUUGAGAGAUUUUUAAAAUUGGGUUUAUUCCUUCUCCUUUUGAUUGAGCCCACAUGUCCCAUCUUGGUUGUGGCUGGUGCCCACGUUGAGGCCAUUUUCCAUCAGCCCCAUCUUGGGCUCCAGCAGCCCACAGACCAUACCCCAAGGCCCAGCUCUGCCUCACUAAAGGACAGGCUUUAUAGCUUGCUUUCUUCGCCACAUCAUAAGCAGAACAGGGGCUAUUCUAUUUUGCAGCAGAAAAAGCCAGUGUCCUGAGUGAAUUAAAAAGGAGCUGUACGAGGUCAGCCUGUAACAUCACUCAGAUUGGAUCUCAGGAUUAAUUUUGGUGCGUCUGAUCUUCCAUCUACAGAUUGAUCUCUGCAUACACCAGAGAAGAAGGAUUGAGGCUUCCCACUCUGAGCCGACUCUCUCAUUCUCUGCUGGCUUUGGGAGCCUGCUGGGCUCCAAAGGAAGGGGCGUGCAGUGCCCUGGGAUGUAAUCAUUGAUUUAAUAAUACUCAGGGGGUGGGCUUCCAGCCAUUAGAGGAUGAGACUGUGUGGUGGGGGCCUCUCUGGCCUAUUUAAUCCUCCAAUCCCUUAAAUACCAACAAAUCUGCCUUCUGUCUGGAGCCAACAGCUGCCCCUUGAGUGGAGUGGAGUCCAGGCUGGCAGGGAGGCCAGGACUUUCUGAAUGAACAAAAUUAAAACUCCCCCCACCUGCUUGGAUUAUCAGCCCCCCUCUUUCCUGUCCCAUCGGGACUCUUUAAAAACACCAUCUGCCUUAGCCUUCCUGUUGCAUGGGAAUUGGGAGAUGCCAGGGGAUAGAGCCAAGUUGGCACCAACUCUUGGGCACUGAGGGGUACAAAUUUCCAGGGAACUUGCUUGCAACUCCCUGGGGACAUGGUUUCUGACCACCAGAAGGGCUAAUGGUCUCAGGAAUCUGAGCUGCCAUUUCAGUGACCAGCAACAAAGAAAUUUUCAGCUGGGUAGGUCCUUGGGGAUUAUAGAGCCCAGCGGUUUUGACUUUCAUUUUAGCAGAUGUUUGUGCCUAUGGCAUGCAGAGGUUUCUAGGCCAAGGAUUGAACCUACACCACAGCAGCAACCCAGGCCACAAUAAUGACAGUGCCAGAUCCUUAACCUGCUGAGCCACCAGGUUAUGAGCUCCUUUUUAAUUUACUGCCUAAGAUCCUCAGCUACACCUGUCUUCCAGGUCUUGCCACUUGUUUCCAGCACAAGCAAAUGGCAACUCCAUGCUCCCCCAAACUCCUGGCUUCAGUGCAGGAGUGUCACACACCCCAUGGGUCUCAUCUUUGACCAACAAAAACAGGGGUGCGCAGAUGAAUUCCUUUCUCUUCCUCUUUCUUGGUAGCCUGUCCUAAGGUUCAUAUGGCCUCUUUAAAGAAGGUCCUGCAAGAUCUAGCAUCAGGGUAUAAGCAGCUUUUGGCAGGAAAGAGCUCUCUGCAGGUCGCCCCUUGGUCUUGUCUCUAACCUUAAACCAGGCACCCCUAUGCUCUACUCCUCUGGCCCUGGCACCCCUCUCAGAUCUUUUGAACACACAAUACCUUGCCUAAUCUGUUGGUUCUUUCUGUAGAUCAAAGAAGUAGAAGUGAAGACGAAAUAAUUAACAGAUGGCCAUAUCUCCUCCCUAGCUUCCCCUCCAGUAAUCUCAUGAACAAACUGUGUGAACAAGAUAGUACCAAAAGAAAAAUCACAGGAAGUCCAGAAGCCUGCACAACAAGCCUGCACACGGUGGGGGACAGCAAUGACUCUGACCCCAUCUCAAUGAUUAGCUGAAAUCACUUCCCCUUUUCCCUUUAAAAACUUUCAUGGCUGAGCAGACUCUUCGGAGAUGGUUCCUGGGGGACGAUGAGUCAGUCCACCAUCCCCCCAGAAUGCCAGCAUUCUGAUUCAAAGCAACUUGUCUUUCUACCAGCUUUUGCAAGGGUUGAUUUUUUUCAAGUGGUGAGAAGCCAGACUUGAUUCAGUAACCAGGGGAUGCUUAUGGCAGCCAGCUCAGCAAAGCCCCUGUACCAUCUCCUUCUCUCUCAUCCCACCUUUUCCUCACUUAGCUUCCUGGCACGGUGCUUUCUCAUAGAGUGUUCACAUGUGUGCUUCUGUCUCAAGAUCUGCUUCUUCGGAAACCUGGGCCAAGACAACAUCAAAGAAGGAUACUCGGUGUAGAGAGCAGAUACUCCGCGUGAAGGGAAACGGGGCCCCAGGGACCAUCUCUUUUGCCCCUUACCAUUUCCAAGGUGCUGACCGAGGUGUUCUCCAAAGGCUCCCAAAAGCCUUUCAUCACCUUCAAUUCUGCCAUUCUGCUGCUGGGGAAACUGAAGCUGGAAGUCACACAGUGAGUCAGAAGCAAAGCCAGGACUAGUCUCAUCUUCUCACUCCUAAUCCAGUGAGAUUAAUCCUCAUGUCUCUAUGAAGUUUAUGUAAGAACUUAAGAACUUCUGGAAAUUUUUUCUUUUCCCAAAACAUCAACCUUCCAGGUUGACCCCUGGAAGGCUUCCCCCUGUCCAGCUUUGUUGAGAAAUAACUGACAUAACAUCACUGCACAAGGUUAAGGCAUGCAACAUCUUGAUCUGAUUUACAUAUAGUCUGAAGUGAUUACCUCAAUAGGUUCAGCUAUAUCCAUCAUCUCUCUGGAAGGCUCUGAAAUCCCGUUAGACUGUAGCCACCACCUGGGAGGCCUGAUGCACAGACCUCUGAACUCAGAAGUGGGGACUCAGGAGAGCAGACAAAGAGGAAAUGGGACAGAGACGGGGCAGUUAUGCUGGGAGAAAGGUGGUCAGGAAAGGCCAAAUUUAGGGACCUCUGCAUGUGAGCAACUGGGCUUACGUGGUUUGAAGGCUACACAAGGACAGACCCCAGGGGAGAGAAGACAGGCCUGGGGAAAGGGGGAGGGACUGUGGAAGGAGGUGGAGACUGGCUCCCAACCCUCCCCCAACCCCCUCGGCCAGCUGGGGUCACCUGUAGGACACCCUCCUCCAGGCUGAAAUCAUGCUUAAAGAAGCUGGGAGGGUGACCUCACUGUGGGGAAAAAGACAGAAGGAGGUGUUUGCUUCCAGUUGUUUUCAUAAGAUUCCUGUGGUUGUGACUGCUAGAAACAAGUUGGGGCCAGGUUGAUGACAAAAAGCAUUUUUUUUUUGGUUUUGUUUUUUUAGGACCACACCCAGAACAUAUGGAAGUUCCCAGGCUAGUGGUUCAAUCAGAGCUAUGGCUGCCGGUUUAUGCCAGAGGCACAGCAAUGUGGGAUCCGAGCUGCAGCUGCGUCUGCAACCUACACCACAGCUCACUGCAAUGCCAGAUCCCCGACCCACUGAGAGAGGCCAGGGGUCGAACCCAUGUCCUCAUGGAUGUUAGCCAGGUUUGUAACCUGCUGAACCACAGUGAGAACUCUCAGCCAUUUUAUACUAUAACAAUAGAGGGGCUUCUUAGGGAAAUCUAAGUACAAGGAUGCACUAAAGCUCCUUGGGGAACAGAUAAGAACCAGGGCCUGAACUCAGAGAACCCAGAAAGCCACCUCCCUCCAGCUCUGCUUCUGUUCCAGCCUUUUUUCUCCCUGAAACUGGCUUGCCCUGUGUCCUAGGGAGCACUGGCAGCAAAUGGCCUCAGCUAGCAGCUUCCAAGUUUACUUUGCUUACAUCCAGGAGACAGGCAGAAUGAGCCUGGACUCCUCUGAGCCAAUUCUAAGUUCUCAUGGAGGGACUGAGGCAGGUGCUCACCCCAGGCCAGUCAGUGAGGCCAGAUGCUGUACAGUCACGGCUGCUCCCUCUCUAACCAGACAGGCCAGGGAAGGAGUGGGCAGUUCACUACUUUGGGCCUGUGUUUUUCAAUGAAAGUCCCAUGAGGAGGUUCUGUGCUCUUUCGCACUACCUUAAUGGAAGAGAUCAAUCUUUACUACGUGUGUUACAAAUUCAGACCUUGUCCAGAAGUCUGCCUACCCCAUCAGAGCCCAGCUGAGUUGUUCUCGGCCAGCCCCUCCCCCUCCCACCUGCUUCUGGUGGGGUUGUGGGGGCUGAGAGGGUCCCAGGGCUUGCCACUGCCAUGAUGCCACAUCUUGAGCUCUUACCUGAACAUUAGUUAAGUUUACUUAUGUUUAAUCUUAGACUUUUUUUUUUUUUUUUUUUUUGGUUUGUGGCUGCAGCAUACAGAAAUUCCUGAGCUAGAGAUCAAACCUGCGCCCUAGCAGUGACUGGAGCUGCAGCAUUAACACCAGAUCCUUAACCCAAUGAGCCAUCAGGGAACUUCUUAGACUCAUUUUUAAAGGCAGGUCAGUGGGCCUCAAAUUUCUCCCUUCUAAAGAAUUUCUAAGGACCUGCUUCUGACUGAGCCCAUGAUGGAAAAAACUGAUGCAAGCUUCUAAAUCCAGAACUUACAUGGUGUUUCCUGCUUCAGGAGUUCAGGGGUGCAAAGCCCAGAGAAGAAUUCAGGGUCCUUUUCUUUCACUCUUAACAAUGGACAUUUAUAGCACAGUUGCUGUAUGCUGGGCUCUGCUUUAUGUGUCUGACCUCAUUUGAUUCUCGCACUAGCCCUAAACAGGAAUAACUUUUGUCUUGCUUACAGAGGAGGAAACUCAGGCACAGAGAGGCUGAGUCACUCACUGAACCAGGUAUAGUUAGUCCUCACUGAACCAGGCAGCCAGCCUCUGGGGCUGGUAUAGUCCUCACUGAACCAGGCAGCCAGCCUCUGGGGCCUGCACUCUUUAGAUACCACCAUACGAACUGUCUGACCAGGCAAGCCAUGCAGUUUUCGUGAUGUGGAAGUUCCCAGGCCAGAGAUCAAACCUGUGCCCUAGCAGCGACCUGGGCCGCUGCAGUGACAAUGCCAGAUUCUUAACCUGCUGUGCCACAAGGGAACUUCAGGCCAUGCAGGCUUGCAGGAGGUUUCUCCGUGGCCAUGGUAAGCAAUGAGCGGUAUCUGCUUUUAAAAACUGCUUAGGAAUUGUCAAGCCCGAACUCUGUGUUAUUAGACUUUCAAAUUUAAUCAUCUGUUCAAGAGACCCAAAACCGUCAGAAAAUCUACACUAGUCUUUGGAGGCACAUUCAUAGGCCUGAUCUUUAAAAAGUAGAAAAGUCAUCCCUUCAAGUGGAUAGCCACACUGCAAAAAGCAACGGCUUUGAACAGAGAGGCCUUAAAUAGGAUCUGGCCCCACUGAGGCUGCUUUAGGCCGUGUGAUCUGGGAAAAGUCACCUAAGCUCCCUAGUCCUGGUUUCCUUACCUGUAAAAAUGUGAUGAUCAUAACAACCCCCUUCCAAGGUUACUGGGAAGCUUUACGAUGGUGAUAUAAGCCUGGACAACUCAUGAUCACUGUCCUGGUGGCAAGAAAUGUGUUUCCCUGGGCAGGAAGCACUGGGAAGGCAAUGCUCAAUCCAGAGGGAGCAGGAAGACCAAAGUUCAGGAGUUCCUGCUGUGGCGCAAUGGGAUUGGCAGCGUCUCGGGAUGCAGGUUUGAUCCCCGGCCCAGCAUAGUGGGUUAAGCAUCCAGUGUUGCCACAGCUGUGGCUUAGGUCAUGACUGUGGCUCAGAUAUGAUCCCUGGCUCGGGAACUCCAUAGGUGACAGGUGGCCAAAAAUGAAGGAAGGAAGGAAGGAAAGGAAGGAAGGAAGGG
rnacentral:lncRNA from 1 species